UACGUAGGGUGCGAGCGUUAAUCGGAAUUACUGGGCGUAAAGCGUGCGCAGGCGGUUUUGUAAGCCAGAUGUGAAAUCCCCGGGCUUAACCUGGGAAUGGCAUUUGGGACUGCAAGGCUGGAGUUUGGCAGAGGAGACUGGAAUUCCUGGUGUAGCAGUGAAAUGCGUAGAUAUCAGGAGGAACACCGAUGGCGAAGGCAGGUCUCUGGGCUGAAACUGACGCUCAUGCACGAAAAGCGUGGGGAGCAAACAGG
rnacentral:rRNA from 1 species